rnacentral:snRNA from 1 species
GACACUUAUCGGCCUUCUGGCUAAGAUCAAAGUUUAGUUUCUGUUCUUAUCGAAUUAACCUGCUAUAGAGAUUCAAUUAAAUUAUACUACGAAAACUAUACAAUUAUACUCAUGAUACCCACGUAGUCACGUGGGUAUCAUGAGUGGUUAUAUUCAAACCCUCCACUGACCCACC